AAAUGAAUUGACGGGGGCCCGCACAAGCGGAGGAACAUGUGGUUUAAUUCGAUGAUACGCGAGGAACCUUACCCGGGCUUGAAAUGCAGACGACCGACGGCGAAAACUGUCUUCCAGCAAUGGCGUCUGUGUAGGUGCUGCAUGGUUGUCGUCAGCUCGUGCCGUGAGGUGUCGGCUUAAGUGCCAUAACGAGCGCAACCCCUAUCAUUAGUUACUAACAGGUCGAGCUGAGGACUCUAAUGAGACUGCCACCGUAAGGUGUGAGGAAGGUGGGGAUGACGUCAAAUCAGCACGGCCCUUACGUCCGGGGCGACACACGUGUUACAAUGGGGGGUACAGAGGGUUGCUACUUGGUGACAAGAUGCUAAUCUCUUAAAGCCUCUCUCAGUUCGGAUCGAAGUCUGCAACUCGACUUCGUGAAGCUGGAUUCGCUAGUAAUCGCAUAUCAGCCAUGAUGCGGUGAAUACGUUCCCGGGCCUUGUACACACCGCCCGU
rnacentral:rRNA from 1 species